GGUCCCAUGAUCCAGUGGUCAAGAACAUUGGACUCUGAAUCCAGUAACCCGAGUUCCAAUUUCGGUGGGACGU
rnacentral:tRNA from 1 species